rnacentral:rRNA from 1 species
GAUGAACGCUAGCGGCAGGCCUAAUACAUGCAAGUCGAACGGUGUCUUCGGACAUAGUGGCGCACGGGUGCGUAACACGUAUGCAACCUACCUUACAUUGGGGGAUAGCCUUUCGAAAGGGAGAUUAAUACCGCAUAAGACAGUAGCUGGGCAUCCAGCAGCUGUUAAAGAUUUAUCGAUGUAAGCUGGGCAUGCGUCCAAUUAGCUAGUUGGUGAGGUAACGGCUCACCAAGGCAAUGAUUGGUAGGGGAACUGAGAGGUCAAUCCCCCACACUGGCACUGAGAUACGGGCCAGACUCCUACGGGAGGCAGCAGUAGGGAAUAUUGGGCAAUGGACGCAAGUCUGACCCAGCCAUGCCGCGUGCAGGAUGAAGGCGUUAUGCGUUGUAAACUGCUUUUAUACAGGAAGAAACGACUCUUGCGAGAGGCAUUGACGGUACUGUAUGAAUAAGCACCGGCUAACUCCGUGCCAGCCGCCGCUGUAAGAC